rnacentral:rRNA from 1 species
GACGAACGCUGGCGGCGUGCUUAACACAUGCAAGUCGAACGGAAAGGCCCUGCUUUUGUGGGGUGCUCGAGUGGCGAACGGGUGAGUAACACGUGAGUAACCUGCCCUUGACUUUGGGAUAACUUCAGGAAACUGGGGCUAAUACCGGAUAGGAGCUCCUGCUGCAUGGUGGGGGUUGGAAAGUUUCGGCGGUUGGGGAUGGACUCGCGGCUUAUCAGCUUGUUGGUGGGGUAGUGGCUUACCAAGGCUUUGACGGGUAGCCGGCCUGGGAGGGUGAACGGCCACAUGGGGACUGAGAUAGGGCCCAGACUCCUACGGGAGGCAGCAGUGGGGAAUAUUGCACAAUGGGCGGAAGCCUGAUGCAGCAACGCCGCGUGCGGGAUGACGGCCUUAGGGUUGUAAACCGCUUUCGCCUGUGACGAAGCGUGAGUGACGGUAAUGGGUAAAGAAGCACCGGCUAACUACGUG